AAUUGCCUCCAACAGUUGGAUGAAAAUCCAUUUGCAAUCCUUGACUUGCUUUCUAAUGAGCUAUCUCCUUCACUGAAACAAUCAGAAACUUGUGUUCAAAAGGAAGCUCAAGCAAAUGAUGCUACAACCGUCCUCAAUGAGUUCCGAACCUUAGUGUUCUCAACAUCGUUGCUAAAGAAACUUCCAGACCACUCCUAUCGGCAACAAAUUGAAGAAUCACUACACAAGCUUAACACUUAUCGUAGAGAAAUUACAGAAGAGCAAAAUGAGGGUUUAGAAAAAUUUAUAGAGCUAUACAAUAAAGCUUCCAAAAUUUCUCAGGAUAAGAUGUUAACCGAGGAUGAACAAGCAAAACUGGCAUCUGAGAAGAGAGACUUGUAUAACAAACUUCAAGAUUCUAAACUGAAAGUUCAACAGUUUGACACCACCAUCUCAACUAGUAAGUCUAAUAUGGAAAACCUCCAAAAGAGACAAAGGGAAAUCCAUGAAGCUAUGAAGAAAUUUCAACAAGAAAAUGAAGGCUUGGAAAAUGAGAGGUCAACACUUGAGGUUUUAUACUCAGAAAAACAAACCAAGAAGAACGAAACACUUGAAUCAGUGAAGUGUAUCUCCACUUCUGUUGUUCAAAGAACCAAACAAUUAGAAGAACUUGAAGAGAAAAGAUUGAGUUUGGCUUCAGCUUACGAAGACCUCAAAGAGCCAUAUCGAAGAAUGAAGACAAAACCCCCAUUUUGAUGUCAUUUUUAUUUGAAUCAUUCCAUAGAUAAGUUCCUGGCUGUAAAUAAGUUUGGUGUCAGUUUUAUGAUGAUGGAAAAUUUACAAAAGUGGUGCAGAUUUCUUUCUAAACUACCGAAAUGGGCAGACUUUUAAAUAUUUACUGCCAUGGUCAUAACCUUGUUUUGUUCAUUUUAAUCAGAAAGGAAGACAUGACUUUCAGGUGUUUUUUUUUUCUUUCUAAAAGUUUUGUACGGAGUGCACGACUUUUUUUUUUUUAAUGUUUUUAUUUUAUUUUUUCUUUCAAAUCAGAAAAUGCUGAAAUUAUAUUUGUUCCGAAUUUGGAUAUAAUUGUUUUGGGCUUAGAAUCAUGUAAAGAUUUAGAUUUGUCUUAUGUUCAAUAAUCCUAUACGAGUUAAGCUAAAAAUAAUUUAAAUACAUCUUUCUUUUUUAAUUCUUUAAUACGUUUUUUUAGGAUAAUAUCAUGAUGGAACUACAAGCUUCAAAACGGAUAUUACAUUGAAUGCGGUGAUUGAUCAUUAAAAUAUUAUAUUAAUGGACCUGAAGUUGGAACAUUGGUGCGGUUUGUGAGAAUAUAAAAGUGGUUCCAAAGAUGAACCUUCGUUUCCUUAACCCUCAACUAGAGGAUGGAUAAAUGGUUCUAAUAUAAAAGUGGUUCCAAAGAUAAACCCUCAUUCCCUUACUAGAUGAUAGAUAAAUGGUUCCAAAUCCCCUCUCAACGAGAGAGCUUAUUCCAGUAUGCUCAAUAGUACUGCAUUGCUUAGGAGUAAAACAAUUUAAAUCACAUUACACCCUUAACCCCAAGACGCCUUUAAAAGACAACCAAAUGAUGAUGGAGCUUCGAGUUCAAAAAGAACAAUACUCCAAAUGUGGUGGAUGAUCAGGUAAUUCACAAUAAAAAAAAAACUAAUUCACACUAUAAAUUCCUUACCAGUCUUCUUAUCUGGCUUAGUGGAUGAUCAGGUAAAUAGGGGUUUGAGAGGACAAGUAUAUCUUUAUUAAUUAUUAUAUCACAUAACAUGAAGUGGAUCUAAAUUAGCAUUCGUGAAAUGAUUAUUUUUUUAAUUUACACUUUUCAAAUUAUUAAAAAGCUUUCAAACUGUACUACGCAUUCUCAACAAAAUUGUACAAUAUAUUCUAUAUUGUAUGAUUUAAAAAUAUUAAUUGAGAAUAUCAUAAUAGAAUUAAUGAUUAUAACGAAAGUAAAUUUUUGGAAGUAUAGAAAUCAUAACUUGCGUGUCUAUCCACGGUCUUUCAUACAUGCACGUUCAUAAAACCAAUCUACACGUGUGACUAAAGUCUGCAUUCAAAAAAACUUUAGAAAAAACUUUCAAGUUAUAUAAAUACUAAUAAGUUAUUUCAAGAAAUUCAUUUAAAAAGAGUGAACAUAGAAUAAACCUAUUGAGUUCAAUUAAUGCAUAAUAUAUAUAUAUAUAUAUAUAUAUAUAUAUAUAAACUACCCAAAAGGGUAAUUUUACUAAUCUCUUCUUUAAUAAUUGCGCCGUGUGUGCAAAAAUUAAGUUUUCCAGAACAUAAAGUCAACAUUUUCAGAAAACUGACAUUAAACCUUUUAAAAAAGUUUUGUUUUUUAUACUAGAAGAAAAUGGUCUUGAUACCCCUCAUAGAUUUUUUAGAGGAUUCAUCCAAAAGAUUUCAUAGUAUUAUCUUAAAUAUAAAAUUUUAAAAUAAUAAAUUUGUGGGUCACUUUUAUUUAACAUAGGAGUUUAAAUUCAUACUAGAAAUUCUCAGCGCAAUAAAUUUUAGAUAUGAGAUAAUGAUUUUAAGUUGAUUAGAUUUUUACAAGUUGCUUUCUAAUAAACAAUUAGAAAGUAUACAUUUUAGUAGAAUCGAAAUUGAAGUGUAGAAAGUAAUUAGCAGAAGUCAAAAGCGAUCAAAAUGAGAGAACCCCAAGAACAUAAUCCUUGAAAAGCUUCAUGGUCCAUUUGUUUCAUACGAUGUUGUGAUGUUGGUUGGUUCCUUCCUUUCCUCGAAAGGACAGUGGAGAAUAUGCAAAGUUCGGAGAUGUGUUCCCCCUUUGGCGAAAAGUACGAUGUUUUUGUGAGUUUCAGAGGAGCAGACACACGAACAAACUUCACAAACCAUCUUCUGAAUGCUCUGACUCAGAAAUCAAUCAGCGUAUUCAUAGAUUACGAACUCACCAAAGGAGACUACAUUUGGCCAGUCCUUGCCAGAGCAAUCGAGGGGUCUCGUGUGUCAAUUGUUGUUAUAUCCGAAAACUAUGCCUCCUCCAGCUGGUGCUUGAAAGAGCUGGAACACAUACUCCAAUUCAGAAGAACUCGGGGUAUGGUUGUUAUACCCGUCUUCUAUGAAGUAGAUCCCUCACACGUAAGGAAGCUGAGUGGGAGUUUUGAUAAGUCUUUCGCAAAGCAUGAGCUAGACACCGGAUCAUGUUCAUGGGACCCAGAAGCCCACAGGAAGGAUGUUUCUAGGUGGAAAGCUGCUCUCAAACAAGCAGCCAAUAUUUCUGGAUGGGACUCCAGAUCAUACAGGUAGAUACCAUCUUCCUUGUUCAUACUAUUCUUUCAUUGAAAUAUGAUGAGAGUUUUAAAUUUAGGACUUUUGUCUUUUAGAACAUCUUCUAUAGAAGUUUUUGAGAACAUUUUGAUAUAGAUAAGUACAUGAGUUCCUUUGAAUUGAAAAGAAUUCCUUAUAUGUAAAAGUUAGUUUAUCCUUAUCUCCAUCCUCAUACCUAACUCUCCCACCCCUCUGAGAAUGGGUACACCCGUACUUAGGCACGUAUUCACUUAUUUACUAUUCCAAAUAUUAAUUCUCAAAUGAAAAUAUCAAAUAACAAUUAUGUGAAAAGUUAAAUAAUUACGAAACUAACAACAACAAAAAAAGUUCUAGUCAUUUAAUAAAUUAGAGAUCUUUUAGUAAUUUAAUUAUGAGACGUGUAUUGAGAUUGAGAUGGAAAUGGGGUGGGAUGAGGCGAAUAUGUACAUACCCAUUCUCAUCCCAUAUCCAAUUUAAAAAAUUGGGUAUUGUCCAUACCCACGCAGUACAAAGUCAAUAUGGAGAUUUUUAUUAAAAUCAGGAUGAGUUUGGACAAUACUUACACGGACACGUUUAUUUGCUAUCUCUACAUAUAAGUGUUAAGAAUCCAAGUAUGAGUUCAGAGUUUCACAUUGAAUAGAAAUCAAAAUGUCGAGUGACAUAUAAAGAAAAAAAUCCGCAAGCACGUAGUCUUAAGGUUUUGGAUUGAAGAUAGUUUCUUGUUAUCUUAAGAAUAAAAAUAUUUAGUUAUACUAAUUAAAUUAUUUUUAUAAAUAAUUGAAGGGUAAAUUAAAAAUUAUAAAAACUUAAGUAUUAGAGAACAUCAUCUUUAGGGGAAAAACAUGCAAGAGAGAGCCUUAAAAUUGAUGUUGGAUUGGGAAACAAAAUAAGAUCCGGAUAAAAUCCUUGGAGAUAUUCUUCACCUACCAAUUGGUGAAGUUAGCAUGACGAUUUAGAGGUUUGGCUUAGAGGUACGGUAAGAUAGGAAAACAUUGGUGGUUGAACAAAGUAGAGAUUAGAGUAGGAAAGAAAGUAGUAAGUAUUAUUUCAGAUAAUUAUCCUUGCUUUUAUCAAGUAAAUUCAUAAUAGUAUUAUUUCCCUAUGUGUGGUUGGUUUGUUUCAUUAUUAUGACAGAAAUGAAGCAACGUUCAUCCAGAAUCUUGUCAAUGAUGUAUUGCAAAAGCUACAGCAGAGAUAUCCUACAGAUCUAAAAGGCUUAGUCAGCAUGAAAAAUACUUGUGGAAAGGUGGACUUGUUAGUGCAAAAAUAUCGAGUCAUUGGAAUUUGGGGUAUGGGGGGAAUUGGUAAGUCAACCAUUGCUAAAGCCUUGUUUGCCAAAUACUUUCCCUCUUUUGAUCAUGUCUGCUUCGUGGCCAAUGCAAAAGAAUUUUCGCUCGAUAAGCUUUUCUCUAACCUAUUCAGAGAGGAAGUUUCCGCAUCAAAUGUGGUAGGAUCAACAUUUGAUAUGAGGAGACUCAGAAGGAAAAAGAUUUUGAUUGUACUUGAUGAUAUGGAUCGCUUAGACGUAUUGGAAUAUUUAUGUAGAGAGUAUGAGGACCUAGAUCCCGCUAGUAAACUCAUCAUAACAACACGAGAUAAGCAAUUGCUCGAGGGAAGAGUUGAUCAGAUCUAUGAGGUCAAGAAAUGGAAAACCAGAGCAUCUUUAAAGCUUUUUUGCUUUGAAGCCUUCAAGCAAAAACAUCCAAAAAAGGGUUAUGAGAUUCUCUCAGAAAGUGCAGUUGAAUAUGCCGGUGGUGUUCCACUAGCUCUUAAAGUUUUGGGUUCAUAUCUUCGUUCAAAAGGUAUCAAUUUUUGGGAAAGUACUAUAAGAAAACUCAGCUUGUAUCCUAACGAGAGAAUUCAGAAAGUGUUAGAAGUGAGCUACACUGGAUUACAUGAUCUAGAAAAGAAUAUAUUUCUAGACAUUGUAUUCUUUUUCAAAGAAAAACAGAAAGAUCAUGUCAUUAGGAUACUAGAUGCCUGUGGUUUUGAAGCAACUAGUGGGAUAGAAGUUCUCGCAGAUAAAGCUUUGUUAACAAUUUCAAAUAGAAAGAUAAUACGUAUGCAUGACUUGCUGCAACAAAUGGGUUUGGAGAUUGUACGUCAAGAGAGUAGUGGGGAUCCUGGUAGCCGUAGUCGAUUGAAGGAUAAUGAAGCUAGGGAAGUGAUUGAAGAAAACAAGGUAAAAGAGAAGGAACACUGACCUUUAAUAUGACAUUUUCUUGUAGAAACUGUUGCAAAUUUGAUGUCAUCUAUUUCGUGUUUUCUUUUUUGUGUGUUUUACCAGGGAACUGAUGCUAUUCAGGGCAUAGCAUUAGAUUUGUCUCAAAUUAAAGGUUUAAUUUUGCAUGCUGACACAUUCACAAAGAUGAAAACCUUGAGAUUUCUGAAAUUCUACAACACAUUGGGUCAGAGUGCUAGAGAUACAUACCUUGACCUUCCUGGAACUAUUGAGCCAUUUUCUGAUAAACUGAGGUACAUUGAGUGGAUUGGUUACCCGUUUGAGUCUCUUCCAUCACCUUUUUGCGCUAAGGUUCUUGUUGAGAUUCACAUGCCACACAGCAAAGUAAAACAGCUUUGGCAGGGGAUCCAGGUAAUUAAAGAAUAGAUAUGUAUGUAAACGUGUUGACAUUUUCUUUUGAGUAGUUUCCAUUGUGAUGGCUCCUUUUGUAUUAUUUACAGGAGCUCAAUUAUUUAGAAGGAAUUGACCUAAGACAAUGCAAGCAGUUUGAGGAGCUUCCAGAUUUGUCUAAGGCACCAAGACUUAAAUGGGUGAAUCUCUCCUAUUGUGAAAGUUUGCAGCAUCUUCAUCCAUCUGUUUUAUCCUCAGGCACACUUGUUACUUUGAUACUGGAUAAGUGUACAAACCUCAAGAGUGUUAAAAGUGAGAAACAUUUAAAAUCUCUAGAGAAGAUCAGUGUUAAUGGCUGCUUAAAUCUGGUGGAAUUUGCAGUUUCAUCAGAUUUAAUUGAAAAUUUGGAUUUAAGCUAUACAGGAAUCCAAACAUUGGACACAUCAGGGAGUAUGCAUAAACUUAAGUGGCUCAAUCUGGAGGGCUUAAACCUCAAGCAUAUUUUAGGAGAGUUAUCUUGUUUGACAUCUCUCAAGGUGCUGAAGAUUUCGGGUAAUGAACUGGUAAUAGACAAACAGCAAAUACAUGUCCUGUUUAAUGGAUUAAGGUACCUGCAAAUACUAUAUUUGAAGGAUUGUAUUAAGUUGUUUGAACUCCCUGACAACAUCAGUCUCUUGACACAAUUACAGGAAUUAAGGUUAGACAGAAGCGAUUUGAAAAGGUUGCCUGAAAACAUUAAGAAUCUUAAAAUGUUGGAAAUUCUGUCCCUCGAGGAUUGCAAGGAGCUUCUUUGCCUACCAAAGUUUCCAUCCCUCAUCAAACACUUACGUGCCAUUAACUGUACAUCAUUGGUGUCAGUGACAAACUUGAAGACAUUGGCAACAGAGAUGUUGGGAAUGACUAAACGCAUUACAUUCAAGAAUAGUGGGAAAUUGGAUGGACAUUCACUCAGAAUUAUUAUGGACAGCCUCCAUUUAACAAUGAUGAGUGCUGCAUAUCACAAUGUGUUAGUAAGAUCAUAUGGGACAUACAAAAUUUGCAACUAUACGAGUGUUGAGCUCUGUUUACCCGGAGGGACUGUCCCUGAGCAUAUCCAUUAUCGAUCCACUAAGUCCUCCAUUACCAUUGCACUUCCUUCGCGUUCUGAAUUACUGGGCUUCAUUUACUCAGUGGUUCUUUCUCCAAUUGGUGGAAUGAAGACUGACGGUGCUAAGAUAUUUUGUAAAUGCCACUUGCCAGAAGAAGGUAUAAAGGCAACAUGGCUAUAUGGUGAUAUCAGGGGAUUGAAGUCGGAUCAUGUUUAUGUAUGGUAUGAUCCAUUACAUUGUGACAACAUUCUCAGAUAUUAUGAACUAUCAAAGGUUUGUUUUGAGUUCUGUGUUGCAAAUGAUAAGGGGGAAGUUGACGGUUCCAUCUGUAUUAAAGAGUGUGGGGUAGGCAUUAUAAAUGUUUUAGAAGUGCAUAGUGUUUUACAAGAGUUGGACUUUGAUUCGGAUAAGAAAAAGAAGUUGGUGGAGGGAGUGGAGUUGGAAUCAAAGCUUGGGAAUCAACAACGGGUUUGGAGUGAAUCAAGCUCUUCUGAUACCUCUGGUAUGAACUCAUCACUCCCUUUCAUUGAUAUCUUAUAAUCUUCUAUUAGAAUAAACCUUGAAUAACUGCUCAUAACUUUAUGCUUUAAAUUGUCAUGAUCAUUAAAAAUUAGGUUGAGAUGAUCCAAAAUAUAUCUAGAACUCAUGGUUCAGAUCAUCCAGAAUUAGGUUGAUUUCUGCAUUUUUCUUUUUCUUCAUUUUUUAUUACAUUAUAUAUUAUGUCUCAUUAUCUUUUUCUUCCUUUUCCUUCUAUUUCUGUCUCUCUUUUUUCCACUUGAGACAAAUUACUGUCGUAAAAUAAUCUGUAUCUUUACUAGUGUUGUUUUUGCUUUGGGUGACCUGUUUAUAGGAAAGAAAGGGAUAAGUUUAGGUUUCAACCAAUUAUUAGGGUUGUUAAAAAGUAUAUAAACUGAAAUCAAUUGAUACCAAACUAAAUUGAAUGCUAUAUAAUAAAACUGAAUUGUUUAAAAAGACACUGAACUAAAUUGUUAUAUUAGUGUAGUUUUUAAAAGAGGAAUUGUUUCUAAAAAGAACGUUUUGAACUAAUCUGGACUAUAACUUGAGAUUGAAAAAUAUAAUCUAAGAUUUCUAAUGGUAAUAAUUCAAAACGCUUCAGAUAUUUCAAUUAAGAAACAAUUUAGAGUAGCUCAAUUUUGUUCAAUUCACCAAAACCACCAUGAUAUAAUUGAGUUUAAUUUAGUUUUAAAAUAGUUCACUUCAAUUCAUGCAUUUUGCCCAGCUCUACUAAUUAUACCAACAUUUUACUUUUCUUCAAAAUAGGUGUUAACAUACUAUUUUUUAGGAAUUAUAUUAGCAUAUUUGCACCUAUAAUUUUCAUAGUUAUUUUCUUACCCAUAUUUGCAUUUCUACCAUACCCAUACUCAUAUUCAUUUAACCUAGUUCACUGUAUUUUUUUGCAAUUUAUCAUUUUUUUUCUCUUCAAAUGCAGAGUCAGACUCAGAGAUUAUUGUUAAACCAGAUUCAGCUGAAAAGGGUAAAUCUCCUCACAAGGAAAUCAAAACUGAUUCCAGAACAAAUGCAGUAAGUCAAGAAUUCUACAUUUCAUCAACAAAAUUAUCCUUCAGGAUCUUACAAGUGUAAAAAAAUAUAAAAUAUAAACUUACAUUUUAUUGUUUUUUUAAUUUUCAAUUUUGUCAAACUAUUAUAUUGUGCAGCUCAAAUACGGAAGUAAUAAAGAAGCACCAGUUAAAUCAGAUGCAACAUUGCACGAGACCGUGGGGUCACAUUUAGACAAUGAAAAUGAGUUUAGAGAAAAGUCAAGUAAGUAAUUUAUACCGUGGUUGAUGUAUCACAUUAGCUACUGAUAUGACCAAAAUAACAUGUAUGUGGGAGACAAUCUUCAUUGCAUGAGCUAGCUUUUGUGCUUGUGUUGGUGAUGAGGACUGUUAGACUUUAUAGAGUCACCUAUUAUCAAAACUUUUAUGAAACUAACUAUCAAUGUCAGUGUGCUGAUAAGUUGGUUAAUUUAGGAUUUAUUCAUAGAGAAUCAUUUCAUUGGUAUAAUAGGCUUCCAUCUAGUCUGUUUUUAGAAUUUUUUAUGAAUAAGUAUAGUUUACCUAUGUGUCGGUUUUGGUAACAUAUGAGUUUUGGUUUAGUCUCCCCAUAAAUGAAAUGUCAAGUUGCAUAAUGACACCUAAUAUGAAAGUUUUUAUAAAAAAAAAACAACUAUCAAUGUCCAGUAAGCUGAGGGAUAUAUGUUGCAGAUACAACAUUAACCACUGACAUAACCAAAAUUAUAUAUGUAUAAGUGAAAGGUGACUCUAACUUUUGAAGUUAAACUAGACUAAACCCCAAAAUAUGUACAUACCAUUAGUUAAACCAAACACAGACAAAGUCUUUCCAACAAGAACCAUAUUCUUUUUACUUUUGUUCCUUGGUUUCAGCAAAAAUAAUUUCACGAAAAUCUCACGACCCUGGUGAGUAAUCUUUUAUAUUUAUUUUUCUAUAUCAUAAUUCAAAAGUUUUUUCUGACUCACCUAUAUGCAUCUAUGAUUUGGAUUUAGAGUUUUUGUAGAAUGUUAUUCUAAGGGCUGUAUAUGUUUAGAGACUAUCAGGCUCGGACACUCAUCUUAAACGACGUGUCCAUGUCGGUCAUACAUCGGACAUCGACACUCGUAUGACACAUAUUAGUGGAGUGUCCAAUUCAAAAAAUAUUUAUUGAAUUUCUGACAAUUCUAACACGGUUUUAACACAAUUUUAAAAAGGAGAAAUAUAUUAAUUUUUUAAAAAACUCAAACUUGUUGUAUAAAUUUUUAUUAUGAUUAUAAAAGUAAUGAACAAAUAUUUCUAUAAAUUUUUAUUGUCAAUUUAUAUAAUUCAUAAUUAUAUAAUAUAUAGAUAUGUGUCUCAGUGUCCUAUAUUUUAAAAAUUAUACAUAUCUCCAUGUUUGUGUCGUAAUAGUGUUCAUAUCAGUGUUUGUAGCUCACAGGCCAUAGGCUUAGGCCCCAUUUUUUUCCGGAUAUUUCUCUAUAGUGUAUUUAUUUAUAUAAAUAUAUAUUUUGUUUAUGACUGCAUAUUUCUUAUUAUAAUGAAAAACUAAUUAUGAAUAAUUUUUUUGUUUGUCAUGUAAUUAAACAAAUUUAAUAAAUAUUAGAUACUCUCAUGGAGCAUUACUAAUUACUAGUUUUAUGUAUAAAUUUAUGUUGUCUAUCAAAACAAUUGCAAUUUUUGCUUGCUAAUGCAUGCAAAUUUUGCUAUUAGAUCAUUAUUUCAAACUCGAUGAGAAAGUAAAAUGAAAACUGUCAAGAUAAUAACAUUUCAAGCACAAAAAAUACGAGAUGUUUUGAUUCAAUUAUCAAAAUAUUGUGAAGAUACUAAUUAAAAAAGUAAAGACAUUUGUUUAACUUAUGAGAUUGGAAAUUUUGAAUUUUGACUAAGAAUGAAUUUUUGGUCUGAUAUGUUGUGUGGUUGUUCUCUCUAACUUCUCUGUUUCUCUUCACUUUAGAUUUACUCUCCUAGUCCCUCAAAAACAUUUAUCUUCUAGAUAGUAUAUUAAAGCAUUAAUAAUGGAGGGGAUAAAAUUAGAAUAAAUGCAGAAUAAACUAUGUGAUGGAACAAGGGGAAAAUUGGACAAGUAGACUAAAUCCAUUAUUGAGGAGAAUCACAGAUUGCUAAAAGUCUUUUCAUGAUAAGCAUGUGUAUCUAUCUUUUUUGGGUUUACUUUCUUGCUGAUUCUUUCUUUUCUCCUACUCAUAAUUCUACGUUUAGUCACACAAUCAAAGGUAGUAGUUAUGGUUGAGCUAGAGAACACUGAAUCGACUUGCAAGGAAACCCUGAGCACUGCUAAAAGAAGUCCAAAAGAAAAUUCUAGAGAGUCUACAGAAAUUGUAAGUAUCUUUUAUUUUGAAAUUUUUUAUCAUAUUAUUUGAAAGUGUAAAAAAUACAAAACGUAACUGUAUCAUAUUAUCAUGAAGAAAAAACUUAGGUAUAUGAAAUGUCCACUUGUUUUGUCCCUUCGAAGUGAUCUUUAAUAACAAGAGGCUGAUAUCCCUUGUGAAGUAAUAUCUGUUAUGCCUUUUUACCUACACAAUGAUUUCUAAUAAAUUUCAGGUAAUAAUGAAGAGUAUGUUUAAAACAGUAUAUUAGAGAGUGUUUAAUAGUAUUUAUCAUUGAAGUAUUUAACUUAGUGAAACUUGGACCUUCUGAUUUCACAGGUGGCCAAUGAACAUUUCACACCACUUCAAGCCUCUUCCCAAGGGAGCUCUGAGCACUUGCAUGAUAGGUUAGACAAAUCGAAUAAGCAAGUUGUAGAAACUCAUGAUACAGAUAAAUUUGUUACUGAAUACUCAUCCUUUGACCUUGAGAAUUGCCUCCAACAGUUGGAUGAAAAUCCAUUUGCAAUCCUUGACUUACUCUCUAAUGAGCCAUCUCCUUCACUGAAACAAUCAGAAACUUGUGUUCAAAAGGUAGCUCAAGCAAAUGAUGCUACAACCAUCCUCAAUGAGUUCCGAACCUUAGUGUUCUCAACUUCGUUGCUAAAGAAACUUCCAGACCAGUCCUAUCGGCAACAAAUUGAAGAAUCACUACACAAGCUUAACACUUAUCGUAGAGAAAUUACAGAAGAGCAAAAUGAGGGUUUAGAAAAAUUUAUAGAGCUAUAC
rnacentral:lncRNA from 1 species